CAAUAGCGUAUAUUAAAGUUGUUGCAGUUAAAAGCUCGUAGUUGGAUUUCUGGUUGGAGCGACCGGUCGGGCAUUGAUUUGUCUGCACUGGAGUCGGUUCUGGCCAUCCUCUUGGAAAGUGCGUCUGUCAUUAAGUUGUCGGGCGUAUGAUCCAGGUCUUUUACUGUGAAAAAUUAGAGUGUUUAAAGCAGGCCUUCGCCUUGAAUACAUUAGCAUGGAAUAAUAAGAUAGGACUUUGGUCUAUUUUGUUGGUUUGCAGACCGAAGUAAUGAUUAAUAGGGAUAGUUGGGGUGCUUGGUAUUCAAUUGUCAGAGGUGAAAUUCUUGGAUUUAUUGAAGACCAACUUCUGCGAAAGCAUUGCACCAGGACAUUUUCAUUAAUCAAGAACGAAAGUUAGAGGAUCGAAGACGAUCAGAUACCAU
rnacentral:rRNA from 1 species